GACUUGAUUAGAUUGAGCCUUGGUAUGGAAACCUGCUAAGUGGUAACUUCCAAAUUCAGAGAAACCCUGGAAUUAAAAAUGGGCAAUCCUGAGCCAAAUCUUUAUGUUAAGAAAACAAAGGAUAGGUGCAGAGACUCAAUGGAAGCUGUUCUAACAAAUGGAAUUGACGUUGACUACGUUGCGUUGGUAGCUGGAAUCCCUCUAUCGAAAUUACAGAAAGGAUGACCCUAUAUGCGUGUAUAUACAUACUGACAUAUCAAACGAUUAAUCACAACUCGAAUCCGGAAUCCAUAUUAUUAACUAUAUAUAUAUUAUUAUAUAUUUUUUUAUAUAUUUUAUUUUCUUUUUAUUUUAAUAAAGAUCCAUUUUUUUAUAAAUUUUUAGAUUAAUUAAGAGUUAUUAUAAAUAUAUUCCAGUCGAAGUUGAAGGAAGAAUCAAAUAUUCAGUGAUCAAAUCAUUCAUUCCGGAGUCGGAUAGAUCUUUUGAAAAAAUGAUUAAUCGGACGAGAAUAAAGAGAGAGUCCUGUUCUACGUGUCAAUACCGACAGCAAUGAAAUUUAUAGUAUUAGGAAAAUCCGUCGACUUUAGAAAUCGUGA
rnacentral:ncRNA from 1 species